UUUUGCUCUUGUUGCCCAGGCUGGAGUGCAAUGGCACGAUCUCAGCUUACUGCAACCUCGAUCUCCCAGGUUCAAGUGAUUCUCCUGCCUCAGCCUCCUGAGUAGCUGGGAUUACAGGCGUGUGCCACGAUGCCAGGCUAAUUUUUUUUGUAUUUUUAGUGGAGACGGGGUUUCGCCAUGUCGGCCAGGCUGGUCUCGAACUCCUGACCUCAGGUGAUCCGCCCACAGCCUCCCAAAGUGCUGGGAUUACAGGCUUGAGCCACCAAGUCUGGCCAAGGGGACUUUUAAGGGGGCUGGAAAUGGUCUCCAUUUUGAUUGUGAGGUGGUGGCUACAA
rnacentral:lncRNA from 10 species